rnacentral:rRNA from 1 species
GAUGAACGCUAGCGGCAGGCCUAAUACAUGCAAGUCGAACGGUGUAGCAAUACACAGUGGCGCACGGGUGCGUAACACGUAUGCAACCUACCUUACAUUGGGGGAUAGCCUUUCGAAAGGGAGAUUAAUACCGCAUAAGACAGUAACUGGGCAUCCAAUAGCUGUUAAAGAUUUAUCGAUGUAAGCUGGGCAUGCGUCCAAUUAGUUAGUUGGCGAGGUAAUGGCUCACCAAGACGAUGAUUGGUAGGGGAACUGAGAGGUCAACUCCCCCACACUGGCACUGAGAUACGGGCCAGACUCCUACGGGAGGCAGCAGUAGGGAAUAUUGGGCAAUGGGCGCAAGCCUGACCCAGCCAUGCCGCGUGCAGGAAGAAGGCGUUAUGCGUUGUAAACUGCUUUUAUACAGGAAGAAACGACCCUUGCGAGGGGCAUUGACGGUACUGUAUGAAUAAGCACCGGCUAACUCCGUGCCAGCCGCCGCUGUAACAC